AUCCAGCUGACGAGUCCCAAAUAGAACGAAACGCGCGUCAAACAU
rfam:Schistosoma mattheei strain Denwood, Zambia genome assembly, scaffold: SMTD_scaffold0008736